rnacentral:rRNA from 1 species
UACCGGCACCUCAAGUGGUCGUCGCUUUUAUUGGGCCUAAAACGUCCGUCGCCUGUUUGGUACAUUCGUGGGUAAAUCAAGCCGCUCAACGGCUUGAAUUCUGCGAGGACGGCCAGACUAGGGACCGGGAGAGGUAUGGGGUACUCUCAGGGUAGGGGUAAAAUCCAGUCAUCCUGAGGGGACCACCUGUUGCGAAGGCGCCAUACUAGAACGGAUCCGACGGUCAGGGACGAAGCCUAGGGGCACGAACC